CUCUUGGGACAGAUCCUCUGUGUGUUCUGGGUUAGUGAUUACCCAGGCCUCAAAAGCUCUGGACCCCACAGCCUGUUCCACCGGCUGGCAGGAAGGUGUAUGAUGUCGCCUGUGGAACCUAGCAUGUGAUGGCCCUCAAUACAAACAGGAAUCCAGACAGGUUCAACUCAAGCUGCUUCAUGGUCUGGAGAGACCAGAGAGCUCUGAGGAGCAGGAGAAAGAGGAAGAAAGUGAGAUUGCAGAGGAAGAAGAAAAAAGACCAAACAAAGAUGAGGGAGAUGGAGCGUGACACGAUUCAGCAUUUGCCAUUGCCAGGUCUUCAACAGGGAUGGACAGAAAAGGAAAUGGCCACUCAUCAAUCAAAUCUGGCCAGGGGAAUGGGAGAGAAUGUUGCAGGACAGCAGGGCCGUGGGAGCUGAGGAGAGAACCAUGCAGAAGAAGGGACAGUAUUUGCUACUUUGCAUCUUCAAGCCAGGUCCGAUGGAGAGAUGGAGUUUUAGCUGAGGAGAGAUCUGCACAUUGAUGGAAUUUGUCCAAAUAACUUCCCAGACAUCCUGGGAGAUGUACAGGUCCUGCUGAUCAGAGCGCAGCCUCUUGUCCCUGCUCAAGGAGAAGACCACACACUUGUUCAGAAGCUUUUUGUAGACCACAUACAAAGCUAAAUACUUUUAACUCCUAGGUGACUGACAAACAGCCUCUUUUGCUCUACAAGAGCUCUCCAAAACAGACUCCAGAUCAGCCUUUAAAUGGGCUCCACUCUACCCCACACUGUGAUUUGGCAAAUAUGCUCUUCUUACAAACAGCCUCAGUCAAUGACACUCAUGAACCUUGAUCUUAUCUGAAAGCAUUAGACUUUGGUCUCGAAGUCAAAGCCGCGUGCCGGAGCUGCAGAGGCCUUGAAUCGGCACAUUUCAGCAGAACAGCAGUUGUUUUUUUAUUUUACGUACUAUGGAGCCACAUUCAUUUUGAUACUAACAGUAUGUUGUUUAUUAAAGACAAAAAGCCUCUAAGAUCUUGGCCUCUUGUAAGACAUUUCACGGUGGAGUGUUAUCAUGGCUGCUCUGCAGUAUGAGUCACAUGAGCAUGCUACUAUAGCUCUUUUGAGUGUAAGAGAAUUGGGUUCUCAUAGAGAUAAUACUAUUUGGUAAGGUCUCUCAAAGUAAAUUGGAUUAUUACAGGAAACAACAUUUCCUUUGAGUCUGCUUUGCUCUGUGUUUAUAUUUCCUAGAGAAGGCUUUUCAUUAGCGUUGCACUGUUUGCAAACUAGUUCUUCUUCACCACAAUGUAGAACACAACCAUGUAGUAGUUCCUCUGACAAAAGGGACCUUUUGUCAAUAAGUUGUUAUUGUGUGUGUUUGUUGGCAGUGCAUUCAUCAAAAAGUAAUACAAUUACUUCUUAGUAUUAUUCAUAUUGAUUUUAAAUAUGACUAGUUAUUUUUGUAAGAUUUAUUAAAUCACUUUAAGCCCUGGUUUUGCAUAACAAGGGUGUUAGGAGUCAUGUUGACAUAUUGAAUGGGUAUGAAAUUAUCUUGGUUCGCUUUCUUCUCUGCUAUUUUUUCACUGAGACAAAAAAUAAAUCUGAACAUUAAAGCUUUUUUUUCUGUGGUCACAGUGUUUAAA